rnacentral:antisense_RNA from 1 species
GCCCUGACGGCGCUCCCGGGAGCAGCCGGAGCGCGGCGGCGGCACGACCCCUUGCGCCUCCGAGGCAGACGAGCCCAUCGGGAGAAGGCGAGGCAGGGAAGUGCCUAAACCAACGGGAUAGGAUUCAAAACUAGGUGACAAACUCAUGAGAAAUCCAACCUGGCUGAAUGUCUGAGAGGCUGCUACUGUAUCAACAUCACAAGAUAAAGCACUCUGGUAUCACCUGCCCAUAUCCUCCUUAGUGUCACCCAAGACAUUUGACUCUGAUGUGGUUAAUUGAUAACUUUUCUUGCUCCACUUUACAAUGUUUUGUUUCCUACAUCUUAUUACCUUGGGACACAAAAGUGGCAGAGUUGUUGAGAGCUGAUGACCAUAAAAAGGAGAACACUAGAGGAAAUGAGACAGGAAAGAAAGCCAAAGCUGAUUUUCCAACUCUAUGCUGACUCCAACCUGCAGAAAAAGCUGAAUAUAGAAAUCUUCUUCCAUAUAUGAUGAAGUCACUCCACUUACGACAUAACACACAAAGGAAUCACCUGGCUUUUUUUUUUUAACCCAGAAGAGUUGUGCUGGGGACCAUGCCCCAUCCCGCUGAUACAGAUCCUGAAUGGAAUAAUCAGGAAUGGCACAGUGCAGGUGUCAAUAUCAAAGUAAGGCCGCAGAAUUUUUGAGAGGACCCUCCAAAUACUGAAAACUUCUGUUGCACUCGAAACAGUCUCCUGGAUUUCUAUAUUUUUAUGUGAAGGGCUCUUAUUGAUGUCCCCCAGAAUCCAGACUCAGACCUAUUUCUCCAAAAAGGUCCAAUUGGGUUGCUACAUAGUAGCAAGGGUUUAUCUUCAUGCUCACCUAGCAUUCCAGGCCCC